rnacentral:lncRNA from 1 species
AAUAGCUCUGGCCAGAUUUCCUGUACAUUGCUGAACAGUAGCAGUGAAAAUCGGCAUUCUGGUCUUUUCCUGAUGUUAUAGAAUGGUUGGUUUAAGAAUGAUCAUGUGACUCAAAACUAUGAAGGAAAUUUCUUGGAGGAGGCUGUUGGUGAAUGUUGUACUUCUUAGUUGCCUUGUUCCUGCAUUGUCAGUAGAUUUGAUGCUUGGAACUGCAACAGUCUUCUUGCUGUGACACUUAGGAUGAAGCCAACAUGUGAAGGAGGACAGAACCAAAAAAUGCAGAGACAUGAAUCUCAACCUGUGCCAUGCCAUUAUUGGAGCAGUUCUGUUUCCAGGCUUCUUGUUUGGGA